rnacentral:miRNA from 1 species
AGAGGAAGCAUCUAGAGUUUG